GCCUGGUAGGCUUAGUUGGUACAGUAUAAGACUCAUGAUCUUGGGGUUGUGUGUUCAAACCUCACGUUAGGCA
rnacentral:tRNA from 1 species